rnacentral:rRNA from 1 species
UACAGAGGGUGCGAGCGUUGUCCGGAAUCACUGGGCGUAAAGGGCGCGUAGGUGGUGGCUUAAGCGUGCGGUGAAAGCUCGGGGCUCAGCCCCGAGUCGGCCGUGCGAACUGGGCUCACUGGAGCAUAGUAGAGGCAGGUGGAAUUCCGGGUGUAGCGGUGGAAUGCGUAGAGAUCCGGAAGAACACCGGUGGCGAAGGCGGCCUGCUGGGCUAUGGCUGACACUGAGGCGCGACAGCGUGGGGAGCAAACAGG